GAAACUAGACACCCAAGGCCAGGAUGGUACAGAUGAGUUCCACACCUAGAAUGCAUGCUAGCUAGCUCUUGAUGAGAGAGAAAUUAAGGGAGGAGGGAGAAAAUCUUGUAGGUAGCUAGAGAGGAGAUCUAGAGAAGAGAAAGAAAAUAAAAGGGAGGGGAGUGGGGGAAAAGCUGUGCGUGGGGGCUGUGCUGUGAGGAUAAUGGAAGUGGGAGGUGGGUGUCCCUCCUCCACUGCCUCAUUUCUCUUUCUCUCUCUUAAAGACUUAACCAAUCGGUCUUUCUCUCUCUCUCUCUCUCUCUAUCCAUCCAUCUCUGCUUUUCCCUUUCAGCUGGAGGAGAUCUUGGGAGGAAAGAUAUAUAGUCCAGUGUCGUCUCUGUAGAGAGCAAAAGGGAAAGGAGCUCGCAGCAGGUACUUAAGCACUGACAUGAGUGAUCUCAUGGUCCAGAGAUACCCUCCUUCUUCUUCUUGUUCCUCCUUCCUCUCUCUUCCCGCCUCUCUCUAGGAUCUUCACCUCUCAUGCUCUUUUAGAGAGAGAGAGGGGAGAGAGAUUACUUAUAUGCAAGCUAUCGGCACGGCUAGCACGUGUGCAUGCAGGCAGAGCUGCAUCGAUUCUUGAGGUAAGCUCAUGAUGUGUGCCGGUUGCGUUGACAUCUGGUUUCUUUGUUAAAUCACUUGAUGAAGAUGGGUACCUUCUCUUUUUCCUUAUUUUUAUAGUUUGUUGAUACUGAUGCCUAUUCCACACACACAAACAUCUCUCUCAUCCUCUCUUCUUCCAGAGCUUUUGAGCUUAAGCUAGCUAGAGUAUUGGAGUUCUUCCAUGCAUACAUGCCAUGCAGCUUACCUCUCUUUCCUCCACCUCCCUCCCCCCUCUCUUUGUCUUUCCUCUAUCUAUAAUUCUGCAUGGCUCGUGGAUCCAAUUUUUUUUUUCCAUGGCAAAUCAUCCGAAAAUUUUAAAUCACUGCCCUGUUUUUUUUCAUCUUGUUAUAUAGAGUAUAUGUGUUCUUAAGUUCUUGGCACUUCUUUUUGACAGGUCAAAGCCACAACAAGCUCCACUGAAGAAGAGAGAGNNN
rnacentral:lncRNA from 1 species